rnacentral:rRNA from 1 species
GAAUUGACGGGGGCCCGCACAAGCAGUGGAGUAUGUGGUUUAAUUCGAAGCAACGCGAAGAACCUUACCAGGGCUUGACAUCUACCGAAUCCUCAAGAGAUUGGGGAGUGCCCUCUUAUGGGGGAACGGUAAGACAGGUGGUGCAUGGUUGUCGUCAGCUCGUGUCGUGAGAUGUUGGGUUAAGUCCCGCAACGAGCGCAACCCUUGUCGUUAGUUGCCAGCACGUUAUGGUGGGCACUCUAGCGAGACUGCCGGUGACAAAUCGGAGGAAGGUGGGGACGACGUCAAAUCAUCAUGCCCCUUAUGUCCUGGGCUACACACGUACUACAAUGGCUGUUAACAGAGGGAAGCGAAGCAGUGAUGCGGAGCAAAUCCCUAAAAGCAGUCCCAGUUCGGAUUGUAGGCUGCAACUCGCCUACAUGAAGUCGGAAUUGCUAGUAAUCGCGGAUCAGCAUGCCGCGGUGAAUACGUUCCCGGGCCUUGUACACACCG